rnacentral:rRNA from 1 species
UACGUAGGGUCCGAGCGUUGUCCGGAUUUAUUGGGCGUAAAGAGCGUGUAGGCGGCCUGACAGGUCUGCUGUGAAAACUCGAGGCUCAACCUCGAGAUGUCGGCGGAAACCGUCUGGCUAGAGUCCGGAAGAGGAGAGUGGAAUUCCUGGUGUAGCGGUGAAAUGCGCAGAUAUCAGGAAGAACACCUAUGGCGAAGGCAGCUCUCUGGGACGGUACUGACGCUGAGACGCGAAAGCGUGGGGAGCGAACAGG